rnacentral:rRNA from 1 species
CCUACGGGUGGCAGCAGUGGGGAAUAUUGGACAAUGGGGGGAACCCUGAUCCAGCCAUGCCGCGUGUGUGAAGAAGGCCCUCGGGUUGUAAAGCACUUUCAGUGAGGAAGAACGCCUGGUGGUUAAUACCCAUCAGGAAAGACAUCACUCACAGAAGAAGCACCGGCUAACUCCGUGCCAGCAGCCGCGGUAAUACGGAGGGUGCGAGCGUUAAUCGGAAUUACUGGGCGUAAAGCGCGCGUAGGUGGCUUGAUAAGCCGGUUGUGAAAGCCCCGGGCUCAACCUGGGAACGGCAUCCGGAACUGUCAAGCUAGAGUGCAGGAGAGGAAGGUAGAAUUCCAGGUGUAGCGGUGAAAUGCGUAGAGAUCGGGAGGAAUACCAGUGGCGAAGGCGGCCUUCUGGACUGACACUGACACUGAGGUGCGAAAGCGUGGGUAGCAAACAGGAUUAGAUACCCUAGUAGUC